GCACUGUCUACCUCAUAACUACCCUGUCAGUGGGGGGUAGAAGAGACUUUUAAGGCCAGGCACAGAGAGAACAGGGUAGAGUGUUCUAGGCAAAAGGGACAGAUUGUGCCCAAAAAUAUGACUAUUGCUCUUUAGUUGAUAGCUAUGUCUAAUUACGCUGACACAAUCUUAUUCUAACAGGAAUAUCAAAGUGCAUUUCCAUUCCUAAGAACCCAUUACCUGAGUGUUGAUAAACAGAUCAUCUCUAGUCUUCCAUGUUGAGAGAAUACAGCUUUGCUACAUUUCUGCUGGAUCUGAACAAUGAUAAUGGGUGCAGAGACCUGAUCAUGAAGCUGCUGAGUCAAGGAUAGUGGAAAGGGCUGGAGGGAUCCAGCCACUUCUGUGAAUUUGCCGGGGGAUGGAGAGACUGGCUUGUGUUUGUGGCACUGCCAAUAUCUCUUCUCUCUAGGGUUCCAGGUCUGUGUCUUUGCAGUCUGCAUGCUGUCAGUGCACUUCAUGAGGUACAAGGGGAUUGCCAUUUUCUUCCUUUUCUAAGCAUUUUAGAGACUUUUGAAACUAUCAUGAAGACACCAAACCACAAAUUGACAAUAAGUAAUAUGGUUUCCUAGUAAAACUAGCAUGUUUGGAUCCAGACAGAAAAGAAACAGAACCCUGGUGGGGAGUAACAGCAAGAUUGUGAAGAUAGAUUCCAGAUGGGUUUGGAUUUCCUCAUGGCAAAAUAUGGCUCCACAAACCACAAACCACUUGACACCUUUGUUUACUGAAGCCCUGUUGGACUUAACAAAGAUGCCACUGAAUAUCUAGUAAAGAAUAAGCUGCAACACCUUUGAGACCUUUGGGCUGGCUCACCUCAUUGAUAUCUCUGAUCCUGAUGACAAAUACCAGCAAUUUGGGUUCCCACAGAUGGCAGUGGCAGAGAGGCUCCAGGGAGUCAUGCACCCUCUUCAGUGAGUCUGACUGUGGGAGAUGGAGAAGUCAAAAUGGCUGAAGAAGUGGUGGUUUCUUCCAUAAAGAAGAGGAGCGGAGAUGCCUGACACAGAGCAGCUGCAAUAAACACGUGUCACGGGAUCAAUCCAGUGAACACCUCUG